AAAGGUCUCUGUCUUAAUGGUGAAAAUUGCAUGGUUGUUCGAUAAAACUGUUGUGAUAAUGUACAACACAAUUAUCGAUAGCUUAUGCAAAAAUAAUGUUUGUUUCUGAAAUGGUUGGUAAGAAAAUUUCUUUCCAUAUCAUCACUUACAAUUCCUUAAUCCAUUAGAAUAACAAGUGGGUUUGUUGACUGAAAUAGUUGAAAAACCUAAUGUUAUUACUUAUCAUUCUUAGAUAUUUUUUAAUGGAUGGGUAUUGUUUAGUUAUAAUAUCAUAAGAAUAAUAAAUAAGGUUAUGAAUCUCUUUAAUAAGAGAUAUAUGUUAAAAGUCACUCAAUCAAUAUUCUUUAUUAAAUGUUUUGUGUAGAAAUCUUAUUUUGAUUAAACAAUUGCAUUAUUCAAAAGCAAUUGCAUUAUUCAAGAAAAUUAAAGAUUAUGCAAAGGUGGAAGACUUGAGAAUGCACAAAAGAUUUUUCAAGAUCUUUUUCAUGAAAUGAUAGCUUGGAAGAAUGUUUGGAAGAUUUAAAUUAGAUUUUACUAUAAUAUCUCAAUAAAUUGGAAUGAUUCAGCGAAGUCUCCGAUGAUGACAGAUAUAAUGGAGUCCAAAUGAAUUCUCUGAUGAUGGUAGAUAUAAUGGAGUCCAAAUGAAUGAACUUUAUCAUAUUUAUAAAUAUGAUGACUUAAGACAAAUAAGUCCAAGUUUUUUGAAGUAUUAGGAUGUUUAUAAUUGUUGAGUGACAUAAUUGCUGAGAAAGAUGAAAGAGAAAUGAUUAAGCUGAAAUGUUCAUUACAACACAAUCAUUGAUAGCUUAUGUAAAGAUAAACUUGUAACUAAGACAUGUUAUUUAUUUUUAUUACUUUUCUGUAGAACUUCUCUUGA